rnacentral:rRNA from 1 species
UACGUAGGUGGCAAGCGUUAUCCGGAAUUAUUGGGCGUAAAGAGCGCGCAGGUGGUUGAUUAAGUCUGAUGUGAAAGCCCACGGCUUAACCGUGGAGGGUCAUUGGAAACUGGUCGACUUGAGUGCAGAAGAGGGAAGCGGAAUUCCAUGUGUAGCGGUGAAAUGCGUAGAGAUAUGGAGGAACACCAGUGGCGAAGGCGGCUUCCUGGUCUGUAACUGACACUGAGGCGCGAAAGCGUGGGGAGCAAACAGGAUUAGAUACCCG